CCAGACUCCUAGGGAGGCAGCAGUGGGGAAUAUUGGACAAUGGACCAAGAGUCUGAUCCAGCAAUUCUGUGUGCACGAUGAAGUUUUUCGGAAUGUAAAGUGCUUUCAGUUGGGAAGAAAGAAAUGACGGUACCAACAGAAGAAGUGACGGCUAAAUACGUGCCAGCAGCCGCGGUAAUACGUAUGUCACGAGCGUUAUCCGGAUUUAUUGGGCGUAAAGCGCGUCUAGGUGGUUAUAUAAGUCUGAUGUGAAAAUGCAGGGCUCAACUCUGUAUUGCGUUGGAAACUGUAUAACUAGAGUACUGGAGAGGUAAGCGGAACUACAAGUGUAGAGGUGAAAUUCGUAGAUAUUUGUAGGAAUGCCGAUGGGGAAGCCAGCUUACUGGACAGAUACUGACGCUGAAGCGCGAAAGCGUGGGUAGCAAACAGGAUUAGAUACCCUGGUAGUCCACGCCGUAAACGAUGAUUACUAGGUGUUGGGGGUCGAACCUCAGCGCCCAAGCAAACGCGAUAAGUAAUCCGCCUGGGGAGUACGUACGCAAGUAUGAAACUCAAAGGAAUUGACGGGGGCCCGCACAAG
rnacentral:rRNA from 1 species